CUGCGAGUGUGUGUGCCGAACGAGGAGCAAGGAGCUUGUGCGAGCGAGUGUGCGAGCGGGGGUGCGCGUGUGAGUGUGCGUGCGCGUGGCGCGGGCGCCGUCGCUGCUCGGAGCCUGGCCGGGCCGGGGUCCGCGGGCUUCAGCGCGUGCGCUUGGCCUGCGGGGAGCCCAGGUCCCACGCGGCCCGCAACCAGACAGGGCUGCGAAGGUGCAGGCGGGCCAAGCGCUGCGGACCCGGCGGGCUGCAGGAAGAACUAACUAUACCCCGAACAUCCGCUGUCAGCAGGCACAAGGCUGUGAUUCAAGAUGAGUGCCCGAAGCUUCCUCUGCCUGUGUGAAGAAGAUCCAGCAAGAGAAGGAAGCAGGGUUCCUGAAAGCCAGGCUGAUGAGGAAAACUCCUGUGCUGAGUUAACGUGGGCGUCUGAGUGGGCAGAGUCAGUGUAUGAACAGCACAGGUGCCCACCCCACCCCCACCCUGGCGGGAAUACUCUAUGAGGUCAAAGCUGGUCCCUGUGUCUGUCUUCAAGGACACAAGCCAAUUUAAAAAGAAAUCAUUCACUUAAAAAGAAUGUUUAGAUCAGCUCCCACUGGUGCAGACUGAUUGGUUAAUAUCAUCUCAACUUAGCGUGUUCUGAAAAUAAGGGUUACUAACCUUCACAGACAACCAGUGGUCUCAGGGAGCCACGAAGCUGUCUCGGGACUGCACACAAGACACACACAGGUGAAGCUGGAUGCAAGUCAGACCUGUGAACUAACUCCCCGCAACCGAGGGGGGAGGAAGUGACCACAUCAUCUCAUUGGCUCUGCAGAUCCAAGUCCACUCAAACGGCAAGCAUGGCCCAGAGUUGGAUGCACCCUCAGAUUCAACAGCCGACCACUGGCAUCCCUUUUUCCCCCUUCCACGGUGGUACAUGGAAUAAAAACACACCCCGGGCUUGCUGGAAUACCAAGGAAACAUUCAUGCCCAUGGAGAGAGGAGCCUUCACUAACCUUGAGUGGGAGAGAAUCAGCCAGGGCCUCUGCGGCACAUGGAAAUACUUGUCUUAAGUAGUUGGCUCUUAGAAAUCACAGCCCAGAUGCCUGAAGCAGAAGGAGAAGCACCUGUAGUGGCUGUCACCCUGCAGGCACCUCUGUUACUGGAGUCACCAAGAAACGGUAUUACGGGAGUCUUGGAAGUGAGAGUGCUCCUCUAAGGAGAGACCCAGGAACCUGUUGCUAAGGGGCCAGCAUGCAGGGUCCCUGCUGGGCCUGCAUAGAAGGAGCCCGGUGCUUAGUGGUUCCUUCCUGAAGCCUAGGCUAAGGAUUCUAUAUGGCUUCAUCCUCCGCUCUACUCAAGCAAAGACAAGCUUCAACUGCUGGGCCUAAGGCACAUGGAGCUCAACUCAACAACUGGGAAUGGAGGACCCCUCCAGAGACCCAGAAGACCCCCGCCCGGGGGGGGGGUGACAUCAGUUGGGGAGCUAUUAAUAACUGCCCUCCCCUCCCUGUCAUAUUUCCUGAACUGUGUGGGGAAGGCGAUUGUGAGGCGCUCUGCUGGAAUUUGGCAGCGCGGAGGCUUGGAGAGCAGCCCCAUGCUGGCUCCUAUUCAGCCGGCCAGUUUUCCUCGAGCUUUGGAAGUUUCACUCAGCCGUGCACUCAAUGGCUUCACAAAGCUGAUUACAAGCUUCAGCGCAUUCCUGAAGGAGCCAAAAGCGACGCAGGUGCAAACGAGCCGAGGGAGCCCCUUAUCCCGGUGACAGAAUGGGACAAGCUGGGAAAGGCUUGGACCACACAAAUCCAAGGCUCACCAGGCAGCAGAGAGCCUGCCUUGGGAACCGGGGGUCAUUAUCCGCCCUAUUCAGCGGGACCGGGGACCCUGGGGCCAAGGAGGCCGGCCGGGCGCAAGCGCCACCGCCAGUACGCGCCUGCAGCAGUGGGGACCCCGCUGGGCGUUGCAACCCGUCGGGAUGUUGGGCGCUGCGUUUGUUCCCACCGACAGCGGUCAGCGAAAUCCAUCCUGCGGGUGAAAGCCGGUGUCCAGGCUAACCGGGAUACAGGAGAAGGAGGGUAGCGAAGAUGCUCAGUGCGUGGACAGUGCGUAACUUUGUCUCCAUCACAGUCACUUAUCUGGAAACCUGCGGCUGGAUUAAUCGCUAUAUUCCCAAGAUGAGCGGUGCUGCAAUCCGCAGUGAACACGGGUGGGAACACGGAAGCUUCCCCUAGGUUCUUGCGGGGGCCAGCAGCUGGCCAGCUCCCUGCAGUGGAUGCUGCACAGUAGCUAGCACCUGUUUGGGCUCGGGUUGGGGGUCUACGAGCACUUAGGCGCACAGAAGAUGUGGAAGAGAGGAAGGAAACAGGCCUGUGGGGACUCCGGCCUGAGAGAGGUUGAUUAGCUCCCAGUAAAGGCACAGAACUGCCUAUAUAAAGAGCUUUUUAACCUGAAAAUGAUGCUGCUGAGUCUUCAGACCGUGGUCUAUUCAGAUGCAGAAAAAUGUUCCCUCCCAUCUUGAUCUCCCAGCCUCACCCCUACCACACCCACAGCUACUCCUUAGGCCCCUCCCCUGGAAUUUUCUCCUUCGGGAUCCUGGUCCUACAAGGGUUAGUAAUAUUUACUUAGGAACUGUGGGCGUGGAAAUAAAUCCUAGUUGUUCAGCCCCUUGCCCUACCUGUUCCAGUUAAAGACGGUGGGUUGUACCCAGGCAGUGGUGGCGCACGCCUUUAGUCCCAGCACUUGGGAGGCAGAGGCAGGCGGAUUUCUGAGUUUGAGGCCAGCCUGGUCUACAGAGUGAGUUCCAGGACAGCCAGGGCUGUACAGAGAAACCCUGUCUCAAAAAACCUAAAAUAUAAAAUAAAAUAAAAUAAGAUGGUGGAGUGUGUGGUGCCAAAGCUCUAGGGAGAAUACUUGUCUACAAAAACUUUCUCUGCUGAGGUCAAAGCAUCAGCUUCGAGGGAACUACCACUUGGUGUGUGAGGUCUCUGCGCCUGGGCAACGGUGUCUCUGUAGGUGUGAAAGCUGGGCAUCAGCUUGUGACAGCUUUAGGCCACAGAAGCCGAAACUGUGCGCCUCCAUUUUGUCAGCAUAUUAAACAUCCAAGAGUGACCACCCAUUGGUCCAUCACAUUAUUAGAUUGUUAGAUUAGGUGGUACCCCAGGAUGCUUCUGCAACAGCCUCUGUAAGCUCCUCUUAAAAGUCUCCUGGUUCCUCCUCUCCAGCAGCGAAAGCAAACAUGUGAAUCUCUGCAAAGCAAGCCGAGCUAAGGUUCCCAGGACAGUCAUCCUCAUGCCCUCUGGAGGCCUUCCGGCUUCAGCUCUCACCUGAGUCCUGUCACCUCUGAUAUGUGGACAAUGCUGAGCUGGACAGCCCCUGGUCAACCAGGCAGAACAGUCUAUGCAAAUGCCGGAGGGCAACCCUGGGAACAGUGCACCCAUUGUCCGGGGCCUUUCAAAGCUGGGAGCAGCUGCUCAGACUGGCCGCCCUGGACCCUUGGCUGCCAGAGUAAUGUCAUCAUUGCAAGAUGUAGACUCUGAAAAUUAUACGACCCGAAUUCAUGAGCAGCCUUGUCUUGAGUGUUUCUGUCUGUGACACAUUUCAAUGUCCAGAGCUGCUUCUGUUGUUGGGGACCGGAGGAGGGCAUGGGCAAGGGAAAGUUUGCAGUUUCUUACUAGAGGGUUUGAAAACUUUACAAACUAGCCUUGGCUUCUGAAGUGGGGCGUCUGGCUUAAAGGGCUAAGAUGUGGAGGCUUUUUUGUUGUCUCUUGCUGCUGCUUGCAAGUUUAAGUGCACUGAAAAGAGACUGGAUGACGAGAUGGAGCAAGAGGCAACCGCAGAUGCCAAGGUCAUUUUCCUUAGCUGGAACUCCAAAUGCCACCUUCUAGAGAAGCAAGCAGGCUGGCUGCAUCAGCACUCUCAGACCACCUCAGCUCCCUUCACAGAAGCAUCAGUGGUUCAUAUCAUCGUUUCCAUCUUCCCUCCCUGCCUCCCCCACCCUCUUCUCUGCAACCUGGACUGUGAAGAGAUGUUCUUUGGCCAGGGGAUGGUGGUUCCUGGUGUAAGAAAUGAGAAUGGAACCAGCAGUGGGUGGCCUGUAGUGUGCCUGCUGCCGAACCUGCAAGUGCAUCCCUCUGGUCUUCAGGCUCACUGCCUACUAAGUGGUAGGGGCGGGCAGGGGAGUGGGGGGGGGGCAAGGCUUCAGGGCUUUAGGUAAGACAGCUUCCUCCUCUCCUUCAAUAUGUUUGGUCCCGGGGACCUCCAGUGUAUUGCAUUUUGCUUUGUUUUGGGUCUCAUUCUAUAACUCAAGCUGGCCUAGAACUCAGUGCAAUCUACCUGUGUCAGCUUACUAGAUGUAGUAUCACAGGCCGGCAGCAUCCUGCUCUGUUGACAGGUCUCCUGCCUCUUCACAGGACUCCACUGCUGUCCCCUCUGCCUUCUCUCUUGGUGGAGCAUGUUCCCAGGAAACACCAAGAAGAGCACCAGGCCACUUGUAGCAGGGUCAUACUCAAGAUAAGAUGGCUGCAGAGCAUGUCUUCCUAUACUGAAUAAGGCCUCCCCUGUACCUCAACCCUGCCAAGGAGCCUUCCCAAUUCUUGAUAGCCUCAAUAGGGAGGGCUCAGAGAGAUGUGAAGUUCAACAAAAUACUGUUUUACACAAGAAAGAAAGUGAACAAUUAGUGGGGAAGAGAUCUUGUAACCCAUGAUUCUCUGAGCAUUCCAGGCUGCCCCAAACCAGGGAGACUAUAGAUAGGGUAGCCAUUUGGACGUUAAUGUAGUGGAGAGAGGCCAUCAGGCUGUAAACUGCAUGGACAAGCUGGGCUCUCAGUAUGGACCAGGCUCCCUGGAGAUGCGCAGGGUAUCUACUGAGGAAGUGCGGAGGUCCUGGGUAGGAGGGAUGAUAGGGCUGGUAGCCAGAGAUGUCAUGUGACAAAACAGGGCCUCUUUCCUGCAAAAGGACCUUCCCCAUUUCUGGGGAAUGGCCACAGGCUUGCUCUUGCCUCUCCAUUUCCCCCCGCACAGUGGGUGUUCAUCCUCCCAUGUUCACGCUCACUUGAGCACACAGGUGCCAGACAUCAGCCCGUAUGUGUCACAAGCCAUUCACAAGUGGCAGACUCACACUCAAACACAGGGCAUUCUCUAGUUCCCAGUCUGUGUUCUUUUUGAAUGCUGGAUGGAUCGUCCAGCCUGAGGGCCUGACCUCCUGGCAGAACUUGAAAAACUCUAGAUUAGGCACACAGGACAAUGUGAGUCCAAGGGCCAGGCCUUUCCUUCUGUCCGUCAGGAUCUGGAUUCAUCCCAGGUUGGACAACUUGUGGGUGGGCUUUGUCAGCUUGUUUUCUGUGCUUCCUGAUUUGUCCUUUCUGUCUGUAUUUAUUCCUAGAUUGCUCCCAGAGUGCCAUGUAUAUUUUGUGUUAUCCAAGAGGGUGCCUGGCCACCACAUAUGGCCCCUGAGCAUCCAACAUUCAGAAUGUCAUACACACUAGAUGUAGAGUUGCUGAAUGAGAAGGAGAUCAUUGAUUUCUUGAGAUGUUGGCUACAGAAAUGACAGUGCUUGGGAUGUGUUGGGUUAAAGAAAACACAUUAUUAAAGUGAGCCUGACUGCCAGCUGCUCUUGGAAGCCACUGUGGCCUUGGUAGCUCCUCUUUGCUGGCUCUGUGCCUUUCAGCGGCUGUCUGUGGUCUUUCCACGAUCCUCUAGGAAAUGGAAAGGGAAGAAACAAAUGCAGUGGAAAGGACUGAGCCUGCGAUCACUAGAGGCAGCCAGAGCCCCUCCCAGCUCCUCUCAAAGUUACCCUUGUAACAAUCAAAGCUUCCUCACUUGCAGCAGUAAAAAGAAGUAUACAUUGUAUUUAUUGCUGGAGUGGUAUUCUUUCUAGAUUAGCUUUAAUUCUGUUUAAUUACAUUGUGAUCAUUAACCGAGCUGCAACUUUUUGUUAUUAGAUAUUUUCUUUAUUUACAUUUAAAAUGUUAUCCCCCUUCCUAGUUUCCCCUACCAAAACCCCCUAUCCCAUCCCCACUCCCCCUGCUCCCCCAAUCCACCCACUCCCGCUUUCCUGUCUUGGCAUUCCCCUACACUGGGGCAUCGAGCCUUCACAGGACCAAGGGCCUCUCCUCCCAUUGAUGUCCAACAAGGCCAUUCCCUGCUACAUGUGCAUGCCCCGUGCUUUCACUGCUCUGUGAGUGGGCUGUGGGGGGAAAGGUGGUGCUGAAUUUCAUUCUGCAAAGCAAAGCAAGCAAAACAAAACAGUAUCAGAUCGUGAAUGUCACUGUGCUGAGCAUCCAGUGUGAAUGAUCAGGGCUCUACAGUCUAGAGCCCUUGUCUUGUGUGGACCACGGCAGGUGCCCACACUCUCAUCUCGAAAACAGAAAGAAGUGAAAGUAAUUUUAGAAGCAGUGUCUGAGAAUUUGAAUGUAUUUACAGACAGGAAGCCAUGGGUCCCUCCAUGUGGAGAUACAGAGACAAAGUGUGGAGCAGAGACUGAAGGAAAGGCCAUCCAGAGACUGCCCCACCUGGGGAUCCAUCCCAUAUACAGCUACCAAACUCAGAUACUAUUGUGAAUGCCAACAAGUGUGCAACUUUUGAAGAAUCUUGCUACUACUGUUGGAUGGAGGAACGUUGAUUCUAGGAGUGACUGUGCAAAUCCCAUGGCAUUACAAGGAAGCCUCUCUCUGCUAUUUUCAAACUUUUAGUCAGCACUUGACACUUUCUGGCUUUAAUUUUGCCUUACAAAUGAGUGUAACUGCCACCACUCAAACAAAACAGAAUUCUGAACAGAAAUUUGUCUUUUGUUGUCUAUACCAACCAAGAGUGAGUUCCUUCUCAAAAUUCCUUUUGGGGCUAACAUACACAUUUAGAAUGAUAUGAAAUGAGACUUAAACCAAGGAGGCCAUGAGGGAACAUGCUUAUAAAUGUCUAUUUUACAUGUAUUCAUUUACAUUUAUUCAUGCACUGGCAGUGUGCUUGCCAUGGUGAACAAGGAGGUUAGAAGACAGUCUUCAGGAGUCACUCCUCUCCUUCCAACUUGUGGGUCCCAGGGAUCUAACUCAGGCCACCUGGCUUGGCACCAACUGCCUUUGAGAUGUUGAACCAUCUUGCCAAUUCAAGUAAACUUGAUUAUUAAAGAUUCCAAAAUACUCUGUAUAAUAUUUUAGAUACCAGAGGUCUGAAAGUGAAAUUAUAAAAAGUAGAAAUUUUAUUUAGUCAUUUGGUGAUAAGAAAUGAAAAAAACCUGCUCCAUGCUUAUUGUCCUUAAUAUAUUCAAUUAAAGCACACCACGAAAAUUUUACAUGAAUAGGCUUGGCGUACAUACAAUAUCAUUCAAUUUAUUUACUUUAGGUAUUGUAUAACUAAUAUGAAAAAAAUGGGAAAAUGUGAAGUUAAAUCCACUACAUCAAUAAAGUGAAAGUAUCUCAGAGAUAAAUUUUGAAUAAAAUUAUUUUUCAUCAUAAAA
rnacentral:lncRNA from 1 species